GGUGAGAUGGCCGAGUGGUUAUGGCGCUGCGUUCAGGUAAUCUGAAUUCUAGAUAUUGAUAUUAGUAUCAUGUUCAAACUCGCAGUGGAGCAAUCCGCGUGGGUUCGAGUCCCACUCUCAUCA